GUGCUCACUUCGGCAGCACAUAUACUAAAAUUGGAACAAUACAGAGAUUAGCAUAUCCCCUGUGCAAGCAUGCAAAUUUGUGAAGGAUACCAUAUUUUU
rnacentral:snRNA from 1 species